rnacentral:misc_RNA from 1 species
GAUGAAGAACGUAGCGAAAUGCGAAAAGUAAUGUGAAUUGCAGAAUUCAGUGAACCAUCGAAUCUUUGAACGCACAUUGCGCCCGCUGGAACUCCGGCGGGCACGCCUGUCCGAGCGUCAUUUCAACCCUCAGGCCCCCCUUCGCGGGCGGGCCUGGUGUUGGGGCCCGGCCGCUACCCUGCGGCCGUCCCCUAAAUUCAGUAGCGGCCUCGCCGUGAUCCCUUGCGUAGUAAUGCACCUCGCACCGGAGAGCGCCGUGGCCACGCCGUAAAACCCCCAAUUUUCAAUGGUUGACCUCGGAUCAGGUGGGAAUACCCGCUGAACUUAAGCAUAUCAAUAAGCGGAGGA